UAUGUGUAGAGCUCGUUUAUAGCUCUGGAGUCGAGCUAUUGUUUCCAUCCAUUAAAGAUGGAGAAAUCUGGGUACGGUAGGGAUGGCAUCUUCAGGUCUCUCAGACCACCGCUGGUGCUCCCCAGUGAUCCCAACCUCUCCAUGGUCUCAUUCCUCUUCCGAAACUCUUCUUCUUAUCCGAACAAACCGGCUCUCAUCGACGCCGAUUCCUCCCAGACCAUGUCCUUCUCUCAGUUUAAAUCCACGGUCAUAAAAGUCUCCCACGGCUUGCUCCGCCUAGGCAUCAAGAAGAGCGACGUUGUCCUCAUCUUUGCCCCGAAUUCAAUCCAGUUUCCUGUCUGCUUCCUUGGGGUUGUCGCAAUCGGCGCCGUCGCCAGCACCGUCAACCCCGUCUACACGAUCAACGAGCUCGCCAAGCAAAUCAAAGACUCUGAACCUAGGUUGAUUAUAACCGUACCCGAAUUAUGGGACAGAGUCAAAGAUUUUAACCUCCCGGCCGUUUUUUUGGGGCCCGAUCAUUCUUCUCCUUCUUCAAACGUCAUCCAUUUCGACGACUUGGUUUUAGCUGGGUCCGGGAGCGGAUCCGAUUUCCCGCUCAAUGAUGUGAAGCAGAACGACGCAGCGGCGCUGCUAUACUCCUCCGGCACGACAGGCACGAGCAAGGGGGUGAUACUGAGUCACUGGAAUUUCAUUGCAGCAUCUCUGAUGGUGACAAUGGACCAGGAGCUUGCUGGGGAGAAGCACAACGUGUUACUCUGCGUGCUUCCGAUGUUCCACGUCUUCGGGCUGUCGGCGAUAGUGUACUCACAGCUGCAGAUAGGGAAUGCAGUGGUGUCCAUGAGGAGGUUCGAGCUAGAGAAGUUUCUGAGUACGGUGGAGAGGUACAGGGUGAGCCAUCUGUGGGUGGUGCCGCCGGUGAUACUUGCGCUGGCGAAGCAUAGUGCGAUCAACAAGUAUGAUCUCUCAUCCUUGAAGCAUAUCGGGUCUGGCGCCGCGCCAUUGGGGAAGGAUAUAAUGGAAGAGUUUGCCAGGAAGUUUCCACAUGUGGUGAUCUUUCAGGGGUAUGGGAUGACAGAAACUUGUUCAGUUAUUUCUAUUGAGAAUCCAAGAGUAGGCAUUCGACAUACUGGUUCAGCCGGAAAGCUUGUUUCCGGAGUUGAAUCCCAAAUAGUCAGCGUAGAUACACUGAAGCCUCUCCCUCCCAAUCAGUUGGGGGAGAUAUGGGUUCGGGGGCAGAAUAUGAUGCAAGGUUAUUACAACAAUCCACAGGCCACCAAACUGACCAUUGAUAAUAAGGGUUGGGUACACACAGGAGAUCUUGGAUAUUUUGAUGGAGAUGGACACCUUUAUGUUGUUGACCGAAUUAAAGAGCUCAUCAAGUACAAGGGUUUUCAGAUUGCACCAGCAGAACUCGAAGGGUUGCUUAUUUCUCAUCCUGAGAUAUUAGAUGCUGUGGUCAUCCCGUAAGUUCAACACAUGCGAAUUCAGUAUGACAGAACGAAUUAACUCUUUAAAAGCCUAUUGUAUAUAUAGAGUAAUGAUACAAUCCUAGAACGUGCUAGCUUUGCGCAGUUCUAUGAAAAAGUGGGAUUUUUCAUUUGUAUCCCAGAUUUCCUGAUGCUGAAGCUGGUGAAGUCCCAAUUGCAUAUGUUGUUCGUUCCCCAAGCAGUUCACUUACCGAAGAAGAUGUUAUAAACUUUAUUGCUAAUCAGGUUGCACCUUUCAAAAGAUUACGGAGAGUGACAUUCAUAAACAACGUUCCUAAGUCUGCUGCUGGAAAGAUCCUCAGAAGAGAGCUCAUUGAGAAAUUACGGUCAAAGGUGUGAAACUAAGCGAAUUAUAUGUAGCCGAUUCCAAUGUUUGCUGUAAUGAAGAAGAUAGUCUACCAGGAGGGGCAGAGUCAAGAUAUUGUAGCCAUUAUUUUCUCUUAACAAUUAGAACCAAUGUUUUGAAUACCGUACCGGACGUUGUACCGGUCAAGGCACUGGAACGAAAUAUUUCGGUAUCAGUACCGUUUCGAGAUAGCGUUUCG